UAGGGAAUCUUCGGCAAUGGGGGCAACCCUGACCGAGCAACGCCGCGUGAGUGAAGAAGGUUUUCGGAUCGUAAAGCUCUGUUGUAAGUCAAGAACGGGUGUGAGAGUGGAAAGUUCACACUGUGACGGUAGCUUACCAGAAAGGGACGGCUAACUACGUGCCAGCAGCCGCGGUAAUACGUAGGUCCCGAGCGUUGUCCGGAUUUAUGGGCGUAAAGCGAGCGCAGGCGGUUUGAUAAGUCUGAAGUUAAAGGCUGUGGCUCAACCAUAGUUCGCUUUGGAAACUGUCAACUUGAGUGCAGAA
rnacentral:rRNA from 1 species